CCUAUGGCAUGAAGGGCUUCCACGAGACGAAUUUUGCAGUCGCCAUCCGAGGACGAUCCGCAGGUGGAGGUCGAAACGGCGACGGAUAUUUUGAAGAUUGGAAAUUUGGAAGGAAGUAUGAAGGCGAAUGGAAUUGUUUUACGAUGGGGAGAGAUGAUCAGGGACGACAGGUAUCACUGCGUGGGCCCACUCGCUUGUUGGAGCUUGCUGGUGUUGGUAAACUGAGAUAUUAUUUGAUGGAAGCAGGAAGUUUAGAUGGACGUAAAAUUGUUUGAAGCUUUUGACUUGCAAAGCAUUACAAUGGUUGGAAGAAAUGCCUUAUGGAAGAAGGGAAAAACAUUGAAGUAGAAAAUUUCUCUUUGAAGCUGUUGACAUUGAUCCAAUUUUCUCAAUGAAAAUGAAUCCUACAAAUCUGCACAUUGAUUUCAUGGUCAAAAUGUCUCUUUAAUACUGCUGACUACACACGUGCUCAACGUGCUCCAGUUGAAGCUCCUUGAAUCCUCAAUAGUAACAAGCAGCCUAGCAACAGCAGACAGAGAUCAGAAGUUAACCAUCUACUAACGAGACUGAGUGCUGUUCAACGGCAACAAUCUGAAGAGACGAUUAUUCCUGAUGGGAAAGAAUGAGCUGAAAAGACAUGCAGAUGCAUCUCACAACAGUGAAUGGCUCAAAUUAGCAGCCAAAUCACUAACUGGCGAAGCUGUUGAAUUGAAAGCAAAAUCGUCUGACACUGUUGCCACCGUGAAGCGUCAAUUGCAAACCAAGGAUGACCCUUCAUCAUGGGAUCUACUACUGAUCAUUUGAAAUAAGAAGCAACUACACAAUGAGCAAACAUUGGCUGAUGCAGGAGCAAUUGAUAGAACAAUACCGAGUAUCAGUUUUGUCCUUGUCAGUUGACCUUCUAUUCAAUACAUUAUAGUGUAGAAAUUGUAAUGAUGGUAAGGUUGUAGGUGGUGUGACAGACAUGGGAGUAAAUGUAGGUGAAUUAUUUGUUCAAGCAUUA